AGAGUUUGAUCCUGGCUCAGAAUGAACGUUGGCGGCGUGGAUUAGGCAUGCAAGUCGAGCGCGAACCCCGCAAGGGGUGAAAGCGGCGAAAGGGAGAGGAACACGUGGGUAACCUACCUUCGGGUCUGGGAUAGCGGCGGGAAACUGCCGGUAAUACCAGAUAAUAUCUUUGGAUCAAAGGUGUGAUUCCGCCGGAAGAUGGGCCCGCGGCCUAUUAGCUAGUUGGCGAGGUAACGGCUCACCAAGGCAAAGAUGGGUAUGGGGUGUGAGAGCAUGCCCCCACUCACUGGGACUGAGACACUGCCCAGACACCUACGGGUGGCUGCAGUCGAGAAUCUUCGGCAAUGGGCGCAAGCCUGACCGAGCGACGCCGCGUGCGGGAUGAAGGCCUUCGGGUUGUAAACCGCUGUCGGAGAGGCGGAAAUGUCUAGGGGUUCUCCCCUAGGCUUGACCAAUUCUCGGAGGAAGGACGGGCUAAGUUCGUGCCAGCAGCCGCGGUAAUACGUACCGUCCAAACGUUAUUCGGAAUUACUGGGCUUAAAGAGUUCGUAGGCGGCUCAGAAAGUUGGGUGUGAAAUCCCUCGGCUUAACCGAGGAAUUGCGCUCAAAACUACUGGGCUAGAGGGAGAUAGAGGUGAGCGGAACUGAUGGUGGAGCGGUGAAAAUGCGGUUGAUAUCAUCAAGGAACACCGGAGGCGAAGGCGGCUCACCUGGGUCUUUCCUGACGGUGGAGGAACCGAAAGCUAGGGGANCCGGAACGGGAUUAAGAUACCCCCGGUAGUCCUUACCCUUAAACGAUGAGCAACCUAGAACCGGAGAACCCUCCACAGUUUUUCGGUCGUAGCGAAAAGUGUUUAAGUGCUCCGCCUUGGGGAGUAUGUCGCAAGGCUGAAACUCAAAGGAAUUGACGGGGGCUCACACAAGCGGUGGAGGAUGUGGCUUAAUUCGAGGCUACGCGAAGAACCUUAUCCUAGUCUUGACAUGCUUAGGAACCCGACUGAAAGGUUGGGGUGCCCGCAAGGGAGCCUUUGCACAGGUGCUGCAUGGCUGUCGUCAGCUCGUGUCGUGAGAUGUCGGGUUAAGUCCCUUAACGAGCGAAACCCUUGUCCUUAGUUACCAGCGGGUCAUGCCGGGGACUCUAAGGAGACUGCCGGUGUUAAACCGGAGGAAGGUGGGGAUGACGUCAAGUCCUCAUGGCCUUUAUGAUUAGGGCUGCACACGUCCUACAAUGGCGCGUACAAAGCGAAGCAAAGCCGCGAGGUAGAGCAAAUCGCACAAAGCGCGCCUCAGUUCGGAUUGCAGGCUGCAACCCGCCUGCAUGAAGCCGGAAUCGCUAGUAAUCGCGGGUCAGCAUACCGCGGUGAAUGUGUUCCUGAGCCUUGUACACACCGCCCGUCAAGCCACGAAAGUGGGGGGCAUCCGAAGUCGCCAACGCAACCCGCAAGGGAGCUAAGCGCCGAAGGUGAACUCCGCGAUUGGGACUAAGUCGUACAAGGUAGCCGUAGGGGAACCUGCGGCUGGAUCACCUCCUU
rnacentral:rRNA from 1 species